UACGGAGGGUGCGAGCGUUGUCCGGAAUCACUGGGCGUAAAGGGCGCGUAGGCGGCGCGGGGAGUCAACGGUGAAAGCUCGGCGCUCAACGCCGAGUCGGCCGUCGAUACUCCCGUGCUUGAGCACUGUAGAGGCAGGUGGAAUUCCGGGUGUAGCGGUGGAAUGCGUAGAGAUCCGGAAGAACACCAGUGGCGAAGGCGGCCCGCUGGGCAGUGGCUGACGCUGAGGCGCGACAGCGUGGGGAGCAAACAGG
rnacentral:rRNA from 1 species